GGGUCAGUGAUGAAAUCUUUACCUUGUCUCUAGAGAGGUGUUGUCUUAUAAGUCUUGCUCAAUAGAGCUAUGCUGAGGGCC
rnacentral:snoRNA from 1 species